GGAAAAUAUAACUGAGAGCACAGAUUUACAACUUCAUAGCCAAUUUCUUAUUCAUCCUUUGGAGGAGGCAAAACUUUUGAUCUUGACCACAUAGUUUAUGCUCUUAAACUCCAUUGUUAAGAGUGUUUUGAAGCAAAUUUGUUAGAUCUUUAUUCCCUCAGUAAGUUUGCUUUCUUUGUUAUUAUUUUUUUCAUGAAGCCACAAUAAGAGUUUAUUGAAGAUGUGCAUCUGCUACAUCUGCUGUGGGUCAUUGCGUUGCCAAGGGUUUGGCAAUCACAGGCACAGGUGUAAAUAAGAACAUGGCACAGUUGGAGAAAAACCCUAUUAAUCUGAAGUGAAUCUGGCCAUGACAGACGAGAAGACGAACAUUUUUAAAAAGUACAGCCACCAUAGAAGAUGAACAUUUUUAAAAAGUACAACCACCAUAGAGAGUAAGUCCUUAGAAUUUAUUUCAUGGAUAUAAUUAGAAUUUUAGGAGGAGCUGAGAACUAGAUGGUAACAUUUCUGCAGUGAUGGUUAAAAGUACAGAAUAUUUUAUGCAUUCUUAACAUGUUUUCAAACAGAAGGAA
rnacentral:lncRNA from 1 species